CUACUUAAUAUACACAAUCAAAAAACAUAUAACCAACAUAUCAUCACUACAAGUACCUUAAUCAGUAAAGAAAGAUCACAGAAAAAAAUGGCACCAUUGGACAAUAAUUUUUAACACCAAAAAGUGAUUUUGAAAGUCUGACAGUUGAAUUGGUUGUAUUUAAUGUGAUUUUUGUGCUCAUUUGUAUACUCUAUUCUCCAUCAAUCAAUCAAUUGGAAAUAAUGCAUCAAUUGGAGAUCUUACUAUUUUUCAACCAAAUCUUUAGAGAACAUCACAAUCUUCCAUUACUAAUAGUUAGCCUUCUUUCGAUAGUAUUUUACAGACAUGUGACCAAAUACUCAGUAACUACUAACUGUCCACUAUGAUAGCUGUAAUCAGAAGGGCUUCCCACCGGAAUGCUGUAGAAAUAUCUCUGUCCACUAGUUCCUCCAUCUUGUUUUAUCUAGUCACUCUCAUGUUUUUUGCAGCACCCACCGACCAUUCAUCUCGUAGUGUUCAUUUCGCUGUACCUUCUUUGUUAUCAAACGAUUGUUCUAAUACUAUGUACUUAAUGAGGAGGAUUUUUUGAAAUGCCACCAAAUACGAUUUUUUGUAAAGAGUUUACUGUAAGAUAUGUUUAAAGUUUAGCUGUAUGUACAGUGUAAAUAAUUCAGGUAUUGGUGUCCCCAAAUAGGGAACCGUAUGCAAUAACUUUUUAUUUUUAUGAUCUCCGAGGAGUUUUAAUCUGUUUAAAUUUAAAGUUUUAUUCUUGAAUUAUUUUAAGAUGGACAAUUGGAUUUCAUUCUUGUAUGAAAUGCCAAUGUUUUCAUCAUUUCUGUAACCAAUUAGUGUUAAAAUUUGAUGUUUAUGUUUAGAAAAUCUGAUCAAGUCUUUUUUUACUUAGUAUUUUAUUUACAAAACUAGCAGGAUGCUGACUUUUUUUUAUUAUUGUUUCUCACUUUGUUAUCAUCGUUGUUUCUUUACAUUGUCAUUUACAUUUAAUACGAGUAUUUCGUUUACACUGUCACAAUCAGUGAAAAUCAUAUCAUUUUAUGACCCUUUUUUGUUUUAUUGAGUUUUCUUUUAUUGAUAUGUGUAAAUACCAAAUCCAAUAAGUGGUGGAGUUUUCUUGAAACUAUCUUUUUAGCUUUUUUUUUUUAAUAGAGAUGAUUUAAUAUUGUCAUGCCUUAACAUACAUCACAAGGAGGCAAACAUAGUGUACAUGUGUAACCCAUUUAAGAAACUUCAAAAAGCUUUACAGCUUUUUCGGAGAUUUUAAUAAAUAUUUUCUUACAAAAUAUUAAAUUUCAAACUAAAGUGAUUAAGUAUAAGGAAUGUAUAUAAAGCUCAGAAAGAAAAAAAUGUAUGAAAAUUUGAGUACUCUGUUAUCCCUUGAGACUAGUACUCAGUCACUGUUGAAGAACAAAAUGGUCUCUGACUUAUAUGCAUGAAAUUUGUUUCCCCAACAAGUUGCAAUGUUUUGACCGAGAGUUAUCAUCCCUGAUUCAUCCAAGUGUAUCGUGUACAUUGUGAAGUAUUAUGUUUGUGUUUUGUUGGACCACCACUUACUGAGCUCUAUUGAUCGUGUUUUGUUCUCUAUGUUCAUGGAAAAUGUUUUAGUGAUAGCAGAAGGAGCUGCAUUCAUUUUAUGUAUCAUUGCGUUAGUUAAUUGAAUUGCUUUAUGUAAUUUCAUGCAGGAUAUACUGAUGUAAAUCCUGAGAGAAACAUAAUUAAAUGAAAUAGU
rnacentral:sRNA from 1 species